GACGGGGGGGGCAAGUGUUCUUCGGAAUGACUGGGCGUAAAGGGCACGGUAGGCGGUGAAUCGGGUUGAAAGUGAAAGUCGCCAAAAAGUGGCGGAAUGCUCUCGAAACCAAUUCACUUGAGUGAGACAGAGGAGAGUGGAAUUCGUGUGUAGGGGUGAAAUCCGUAAAUAUACGAAGGAACGCCAAAAGCGAAGGCAGCUCUCUGGGUCCCUACCGACGCUGGGGUGCGAAAGCAUGGGGAGCGAACAGG
rnacentral:rRNA from 1 species